UGUGUGCUUUUGCUAUGUUGCUUUUCUGGUCCUGCGCCCUGAUAGUGUUCUCUUGAUAGUGUUGUUUUUUUUUUUUUUUUUGGUAGCUUGUUUUCCUAACCCCUCAUGGUCUUAUUUUGUGUCAUUCUCAGUGUUGUAGUUAAAAUAUACCAUUGUUUUUUUGUUGCGGAGCCAGCAGUGGAUCGGCACCUUAUUUCCCUCCUGCUCCCUGCUCUGCGCCAAUACAUGACACUGAAGGGCAUCCAGCAGCAGGUCCAGCAGAUGCUUGCCUACACACUGUAACUCCCCCACCACCUUAGAGAGGUUAAUGGAAGGAGUCUUAGCUAGUGCUGUGAGGUAUCACCAAAAAUUUGUAUCGUGUUAGCCGGUCCUUGCGGCCCCCGUUUCCUGCUGUGUUUUUUUUUUUUUUUUUUUUUUUUUUUUUUUUUUUUUUUUUUGUUUCUAAUUCACCUUUACUGGAGCAGCAAGUGUUCACAUCAGUAAGAAUCAUUUUUGAAAAGGGUCAUGGGGGGUCCAGAGCCUUUCCUGGUGCAACCCAGGAUGGGGUUAACUGGUAUUCUGUCCGGCACUAGUCUGGACUGAUGUGCCCUGGAGCCAGUGUGUUAUCCAUCUGGAUGAUCUGCCUGCCUACACUGCCAAUUACAGCGUAACUCUGAGCAACCUGCACACCAUCUUCACUGCCGUCCGUAACACUGGCCAGCACCUCAACCCACCUGUUGCAGAAGAUGGAGCUGUUGAGCCAUGUUGUGAUCAGUGAGGGCGUGCAGGCAGACCCAUGGAAUAUUGCUGCAGUGAAAGGCUUGGGAGUCACUAUGGAUGGCUGACCCCUCAGGUGGGGGCAAUGUGAUGCCAUGGGACCAGUCAGCACAACCUUUUAGCCAGUUACUGGCAUGUUUUGCACUUUGGGUAUGUGUAAAUAGUAUAAAUUGAUAUGUGUAUUUGUGCAUUUUAAUGUUUACCACGGAAUGUGUACGCUUUUAUUGAGUAAAAGUGAUUGUGACUGUUGGGUGAA